CCUACGGGAGGCAGGAGUGAGGAAUAUUGGUCAAUGGACGAGAGUCUGAACCAGCCAAGUAGCGUGAAGGAUGACUGCCCUAUGGGUUGUAAACUUCUUUUAUAUGGGAAUAAAACGUUCCACGUGUGGGAUUUUGUAUGUACCAUAUGAAUAAGGAUCGGCUAACUCCGUGCCAGCAGCCGCGGUAAUACGGAGGAUCCGAGCGUUAUCCGGAUUUAUUGGGUUUAAAGGUAGCGUAGGUGGAUUGUUAAGUCAGUUGUGAAAGUUUGCGGCUCAACCGUAAAAUUGCAGUUGAAACUGGCAGUCUUGAGUACAGGAGAGGUGGGCGGAAUUCGUGGUGUAGCGGUGAAAUGCUUAGAUAUCACGAAGAACUCCGAUUGCGAAGGCAGUUCACUGGACUGCAACUGACACUGAGGCUCGAAAGUGUGGGUAUCAAACAGGAUUAGAUACCCUUGUAGUC
rnacentral:rRNA from 1 species